rnacentral:rRNA from 1 species
GAUGAACGCUGGCGGCGUGCCUAAUACAUGCAAGUCGAGCGAACGGACGAGAAGCUUGCUUCUCUGAUGUUAGCGGCGGACGGGUGAGUAACACGUGGAUAACCUACCUAUAAGACUGGGAUAACUUCGGGAAACCGGAGCUAAUACCGGAUAAUAUUUUGAACCGCAUGGUUCAAAAGUAAAAGACGGUCUUGCUGUCACUUAUAGAUGGAUCCGCGCUGCAUUAGCUAGUUGGUAAGGUAACGGCUUACCAAGGCAACGAUGCAUAGCCGACCUGAGAGGGUGGUCGGCCACACUGGAACUGAGACACGGUCCAGACUCCUACGGGAGGCAGCAGUAGGGAAUCUUCCGCAAUGGGCGAAAGCCUGACGGAGCAACGCCGCGGGAGUGAUGAAGGUCUUCGGAUCGUAAAACUCUGUUAUUAGGGAAGAACAUAUGUGUAAGUAACUGUGCACAUCUUGACGGUACCUAAUCAGAAAGCCACGGCUAACUACGUGC